AACGUAGGAGACGAACGUUAUCCGGAGUUACUGGGCGUAAAGGGCGUGUAGGCGGUAUGUUAAGUCUGGCGUGAAAGCUCUCGGCUAAACCGGGAGAGGUCGUUGGAUACUGGCACACUAGAGGAUGGUAGAGGCGUGUGGAAUUCCGGGUGUAGUGGUGAAAUGCGUAGAGAUCUGGAGGAACACCGGUGGCGAAGGCGGCCCCCUGGUUCGAUACUGACGCUGAGGUGCGAAAGCGUGGGGAGCAAACAGG
rnacentral:rRNA from 1 species